CGGGAUUGACGGAUCCAGAGUUUGAUUAUGGCUCAGGAUGAACGCUGGCGGCGUGCUUAACACAUGCAAGUCGAACGGGAUCCAUCAAGCUUGCUUGGUGGUGAGAGUGGCGAACGGGUGAGUAAUGCGUGACCGACCUGCCCCAUACACCGGAAUAGCUCCUGGAAACGGGUGGUAAUGCCGGAUGCUCCAGUUGAUCGCAUGGUCUUCUGGGAAAGCUUUCGCGGUAUGGGAUGGGGUCGCGUCCUAUCAGCUUGACGGCGGGGUAACGGCCCACCGUGGCUUCGACGGGUAGCCGGCCUGAGAGGGCGACCGGCCACAUUGGGACUGAGAUACGGCCCAGACUCCUACGGGAGGCAGCAGUGGGGAAUAUUGCACAAUGGGCGCAAGCUGAUGCAGCGACGCCGCGUGAGGGAUGGAGGCCUUCGGGUUGUAAACCUCUUUUAUCGGGGAGCAAGCGAGAGUGAGUUUACCCGUUGAAUAAGCACCGGCUAACUACGUGCCAGCAGCCGCGGUAAUACGUAGGGUGCAAGCGUUAUCCGGAAUUAUUGGGGCGUAAAGGGCUCGUAGGCGGUUCGUCGCGUCCGGUGUGAAAGUCCAUCGCUUAACGGUGGAUCCGCGCCGGGUACGGGCGGGCUUGAGUGCGGUAGGGGAGACUGGAAUUCCCGGUGUAACGGUGGAAUGUGUAGAUAUCGGGAAGAACACCAAUGGCGAAGGCAGGUCUCUGGGCCGUUACUGACGCUGAGGAGCGAAACKGAGGGAGCGAACAGGAUUAGAUACCCUGGUAGUCCACGCCGUAAACGGUGGAUGCUGGAUGUGGGGCCCGUUCCACGGGUUCCGUGUCGGAGCUAACGCGUUAAGCAUCCCGCCUGGGGAGUACGGCCGCAAGGUAAAAACUCAAAGAAAUUGACGGGGGCCCGCACAAGCGGCGGACAUGCGGAUUAAUUCGAUGCAAUGCGAGGACCUUACCUGGGCUUGACAUGUUCCCGACGGUCGUAAGAUACGGCUUCCCUUCGGGGCGGGUUCMMRGUGGUGCAUGGUCGUCSUCAGYCUGUCGUGAAWGUUGGGUUAAUCCGCACGAGSAACCUCGCCCGUGCAASGUWGCCGGA
rnacentral:rRNA from 1 species